AUUUAUUUACGCUUUAUUGGUCACUGGGUUGUUCCGUUCUCGAUGUUACUAUGUUUAGAUUGGGAUUCUCUUCGAACCUGUUUGGCAGGUUUACGUAGAAGCUUAUGAGGGGUGUUGCCGGAUGUCGCUAUAUUUAGUAUCUAGAGUAGGAAAACUUGUUUGGUUAGUUUUGAUGACUAUAUAUAUGGGGUGUGGGCUGACUUUUGUGAGAAGAGGUCUGGACGCCGAGCAGUAUUUUCGUGUAUGUUAAGCCCUUGCUGUGUGAACUUGGGUGUGUCUCUUGUGUCUCCCCUGCUGUGUGAUCUAGGGAACAUGUAGCCUGUGUGGAUUUUGUUGGCGCUGGCGUUGCGAGACCUGAUUGCCUACAUUUGUAUUUUUAUUGCCACAACUCAGUGACCAAUUUUAUAAUUCUUAAGUUAUUGUUAACCUGAGGGGACGGGGUGGAUUUUGGUGGAGCGUGGUGGAUCGUAGUGGAGCGUGGUGGAAGUAGGGGAGCGUGGUAGAAAGAAGCACGAGAUUAUGGAGGCCCGUUGAGAACUAUGAUUAAUAAUUUCUUUGUACAUAUGUAGAUAAAUUUAUUGUUUAUUUUUUC
rnacentral:sRNA from 1 species